GAUGAAGAACGUAGCGAAAUGCGAUAAGUAAUGUGAAUUGCAGAAUUCAGCGAAUCAUCGAAUCUUUGAACGCACAUUGCGCCCCUUGGUAUUCCGAGGGGCAUGCCUGUUCGAGCGUCAUUAUAACCCCUCAAGCUCAGCUUGGUGUUGGGGCCUGCUGCACUGGCAGCCCUUAAAAUCAGUGGCGGCGCCAUCUGGCUCUAAGCGUAGUAAUUCUUCUCGCUAUGGAGUCCUGGUGGAUGCUUGCCAUCAACCCCCAAUUUUUCUAUGGUUGACCUCGGAUCAGGUAGGGAUACCCGCUGAACUUAAGCAUAUCACUAAGCGGAGGA
rnacentral:misc_RNA from 1 species